rnacentral:rRNA from 1 species
GACGAACGCUGGCGGCGUGCUUAACACAUGCAAGUCGAACGGUGAAGCGCCUUCCUUUUGGGGGGGUGGGGUGGAGUGCCGAAGGGUGAAGUAACAGUUAAGUACCCUUCCCCUUGCUUUUGGUUAACGGAAUUAAGGUUUGUACAGGAUGGGAUAUCCUGGUUCUUUGUCUGGAUGGGCCUGGUUAAGCUAUUGUUUCUGGGGGGGAGGGUUUCGCGGCUUUUCAGGUUGUUGGUGGGGUGAUGGCGUACCAAGGGGGUGCGGGGUACCCGGCCUGAGAGGGUGGCCGGUCACACUGGGACUGAGACACGGCCGAGACUCAUACGGGAGGCAGAAGUGGGGAAUAUUGAACAAUGGGCGCAAGUGUGAUGCAGCGACGACGCGUAAGGGAUGGAGGCCUUCGGGUUGUGAACCCCUUUCGCCAGUGAAGCAGGCCUGCCUCGUUUGUGGGUGGGUUGACGGUAGCUGGAUAAGAAGCGCCGGCUAACUACGUG